UACGAACGUGACGCACUCCGUCCGAGGACCCUCCUCCGACACCACCGCACGUUUUCUGCACACGAGUGCGACGAAGGGGUGCGCAAUGCUCGAUUAGUGCAUCGGACUCAUCACCGCGCUCCUGUAAUAUCGAUCGAGUGCAACUGAUUGUGUAAUUGUAAUUAAGGCAAUCUUGUAAUCGACGACGAUAAGUCGGUAUAAUUAAUGAACCGAGUCGUGCUGACGACGCUCCAAGUGUCUAUCUGGCCGCACGAUCGCUGGCGGUUCUCUGUCACGGGACAAAAGUUUCAGGGCCAAGGUACGAGAAAUCGCGAGUUCUGAAUCAGACGCGAGAAGGUGAUAUCGGCGGACGAGUCUCUCGACCCAAGGGGAGGCAACGAGCGGAUACAGAGAGAGCAUGAACGCCGAGACAUGCCGCAGUUGCACUUCGGGUAAGCACGUGCAGAUUGUAAUAUGCGGCACUGCGACAGCAGGGUACCAAUGUGGUACUCGAGCUCUGUUAUAAAACAGAAUUAGUUCUGCACAGGACGUAACACCAUAGAAGCACCGGGCAGAAGCGCACCGCAGCUUUAUGGGCCACAGCUUUUUUCUCCCCCUGUUUGAACAGGAAAGACAAUCGGCGAGAUGGCAAACCGCAGGAAAGUUGAGACGCCUUCGCUUGAUUAUUUCCUCCUCAGCUCCCUGGCUUUCACAUUUCAAUUAAAUUCUUUAAAUUUCAUUCAACGCCGGUAUUCAACAGCUUUGACGGUUACGAGCAAAACCGAUUCAUCGGAAUUCAUAAAUUUUUCUAAUGAUACCGAUCCGUCCUCGUGUGGCUAUAUUAUGCUUUUAGCUUGAUAGAAAGUGCUUUUUAAUAUUAUUAAGAUUGUUGUUGUUAUCAUUAUUUUUUCGUUAGAAAGUAGUA